rfam:Myotis davidii contig119023, whole genome shotgun sequence.
GCUGGUGUGGCUCACUAGAUAGAGCAUCAGGCUGGAGACUGAAGAGUUCCAGGUUCGAUUCCGGUCAAGGGCA